CGACUCUCUUCCCAACUGCCAAAAUUCCCCAAACUGAAAUUCUCGGUUCCAACAAUUAAUGAUCAAAAUGAUGAUUAAAUUGAUCUAUUAAAAUAUAACCCAGUAGAAUUUCUGUAGGUCGAUUGAAUAUUCAUGGUUGGGGUUAUUUUGAAUUCCCUCUUCUCUCCGAGUUUCUUCUGAACUCUUUUAGGGCUGCAGCAAAUCAAGAGAUUAAAUGGACGGAUUCACCGUGUAAUCGCGCGGAUUUACUGUUAGGUUAAAUGUCUAAAAUUAAAGAAAAAUGUAAACAAGUUUCUUAAGGAGUUGUUACAGAUGUUGCUUAAGAAAUCGUUGCUCAGGGGCACAGUACAUGGCAUUUUGUCUUUUGGGUUUAUGUCGUUGCAGAUGGAACAUCAAAAUGUUUAAUUUUAUAUUCUAAAAUUGAAGAAUCUGUGAUAUUAGUCAUGUGGAAGUUUCUAUUGCUUCUCCAAGGAAAGAUGAUAUUUUGCUCAAGAUGAAAGCUACAAACUGUUAGGUGAGAAGAUAGAAGAACCUCAAAGCCGGCAACAAAGUUGUAUCGGUGCUUAGCUGUAGUAUAAUAUCUACCAAAAAGCAUAAGUAAUAAGUAUACAUUUCUAUGUAAUUGAAGACUUUUCAUUGGGGCUGAUGGACGUAGGUUUGGUGCAAUUCUUAUGCGGCUAAUUUCGUCAUUACGAAGUGAUAUCUUGCGGGUUUUUAUCUUCUAUUCUUUCUUUCAGCUGCGUAUUACUGUGGUCUGUUUUCAGCUGUGUAUUACUGAUGUCUGUUUUCCAAAAUGGGAAAAAUGUGCCCAAAAAAGACUAUGUUUGUCGACGUGCAACACACGUGCACUCUAAUUUUUAUAAUUAAAGUAAAUUACACAAACGUUAGUUCCUA